ACCUAAUAGAUACCCUGGUAGUCCACGCCGUAAACGAUGGGUACUAGGUGUAGGGGGUGUCGACUCCCCCUGUGCCGACGCUAAACGCAUUAAAGUACCCCGCCUGGGGAGUACGGCCGCAAGGCUAAAACUCAAAGGAAUUGACGGGGCCCGCACAAGCAGCGGAGCAUGUGGUUUAAUUCGACGCGACGCGAAGAACCUUACCUGGGCUUGACAUGUUUCUGACAGCCGUGGAAACACGGUCUCCCUUCGGGGCAGAAUCACAGGUGGUGCAUGGCUGUCGUCAGCUCGUGUCGUGAGAUGUUGGGUUAAGUCCCGCAACGAGCGCAACCCCCGUCGCAUGUUGCCAGCAUUUAGUUGGGGACUCAUGCGAGACUGCCGGUGACAAACCGGAGGAAGGUGGGGAUGACGUCAAGUCAUCAUGCCCCUUAUGUCCAGGGCUACACACGUGCUACAUUGGCGCAUACAGAGGGCUGCAAGACCGCGAGGUGGAGCGAAUCCCUUAAAGUGCGUCUCGGUUCGGAUUGCAGGCUGAAAC
rnacentral:rRNA from 1 species